CAAUAGCGUAUAUUUAAGUUGUUGCAGUUAAAAAGCUCGUAGUUGAAGUUGUGGCGCGGGCAUUGGGCCAUUAAGUUGGUUCCGGGCUCGCGACAUUUUACGGGGCAACCCGUUAUGUUACUUUGAGGAAAUUAGAGUGCUUGAAGCAGGCUUGGCUUUGAAUACUACAGCAUGGAAUAACGAUACAAGACUUUGGAAUCGGAGUUCUGGACCGAAGUAAAGGUUAAUAGGAAUGGUCGGGGGCAUUGGUAUUCAGCAGCCAGAGGUGAAAUUCUUAGAUUUGCUGAAGACGAACUAAUGCGAAANCANNNGCCAAGGACGUUUUCAUNAA
rnacentral:rRNA from 1 species